CCCUUAGAUGUUCUGGGCCGCACGCGUGCUACACUGAGUGGAUCAGCGGGUCAGGUUGCGCGAAAGCGUUUCCUAAUCUUUAAAUCCGCUCGUGAUGGGGAUUGACGGUUGCAAUUUUCUGUCAUGAACGAGGAAUACCUUGUAAGCGCGGGUCAUCAUCCCGCGCUGAAUACGUCCCUGCCCUUUGUACACACCGCCCGUCGCUCCUACCGAUGAAUCGUCCGGUGAAGUUCACAGAGUGGCGGUUCGUGGAGUUGCUCGCGAAGUGAAAUGGACCUCACGAUUUAGAGGAAGGAGAAGUCGUAACA
rnacentral:rRNA from 1 species